rnacentral:rRNA from 1 species
UACGGAGGGUGCAAGCGUUAUCCGGAUUUACUGGGUUUAAAGGGUGCGCAGGCGGAUAUGUAAGUCAGUGGUGAAAUCUCCGGGCUUAACCCGGAACUGCCGUUGAUACUAUAUAUCUUGAAUGCUGUGGAGGUAAGCAGAAUAUGUCAUGUAGCGGUGAAAUGCUUAGAGAUGACAUAGAAUACCUAUUGCGAAGGCAGCUUACUACGCAGAUAUUGACGCUCAUGCACGAAAGCGUGGGGAUCAAACAGGA